rnacentral:rRNA from 1 species
GACGAACGCUGGCGGCGUGCCUAAUACAUGCAAGUAGAACGCUGAAGGAGGAGCUUACUUCUCUGGAUGAGUUGCGAACGGGUGAGUAACGCGUAGGUAACCUGCUUGGUAGCGGGGGAUAACUAUUGGAAACGAUAGAUAAUACCGCAUAAGAGUAGAUGUUGCAUGACACUUACUUAAAAGGUGCAAUUGCACCACUACCAGAUGGACCUGCGUUGUAUUAGCUAGUUGGUGGGGUAACGGCUUACCAAGGCGACGAUACAUAGCCGACCUGAGAGGGUGAUCGGCCACACUGGGACUGAGACACUGCCCAGGCUCCUACGGGAGGCAGCAGUAGGGAAUCGUCGGCAAUGGACGGAAGUCUGACCGAGCAACGACGCGUGAGUGAAGAAGGUUUUCGGAUCGUAAAGCUCUGUUGUAAGAGAAGAACGAGUGUGAGAGUGGAAAGUUCACACUGUGGCGGUAUCUUACCAGAAAGGGACGGCUAACUACGUGCCAGCCGCCGCGGUAA